AGCUCCUGUGGCCUAGUGGUUGGAGCGUCCGCCUUGGAUGUGGGAGGUCGUUGGUUUGAACCCGGACAGAGUCA